GACGAACGCUGGCGGCGUGCUUAACACAUGCAAGUCGAACGAACCUUUCGGGGUUAGUGGCGGACGGGUGAGUAACACGUGGGAACGUGCCUUUAGGUUCGGAAUAACUCAGGGAAACUUGUGCUAAUACCGAAUGUGCCCUUCGGGGGAAAGAUUAAUCGCCUUUAGAGCGGCCCGCGUCUGAUUAGCUAGUUGGUUGAGGUAAUGGCUCACCAAGGCGACGAUCAGUAGCUGGUCUGAGAGGAUGAUCAGCCACAUUGGGACUGAGACACGGCCCAAACUCCUACGGGAGGCAGCAGUGGGGAAUCUUGCGCAAUGGGCGAAAGCCUGACGCAGCCAUGCCGCGUGAAUGAUGAAGGUCUUAGGAUUGUAAAAUUCUUUCACCGGGGACGAUAAUGACGGUACCCGGAGAAGAAGCCCCGGCUAACUUCGUG
rnacentral:rRNA from 1 species